GAGAGGAAGAGGGAGUGGGACGGACGGAUGGAGCUGGAGGGAGGCAGCGGAGAGGGAAGCUGCAGGAGGCACAGACUUGAGUGGCUCCCAAAGCCCUAGGGUGUGCAGGGGCUGAGGCUGUGUGUCUGGAUACGCUGGAAAGAAAGGCAAACUUUGACUCUGGGCAGCCAGCAGGUUCAACUCCGCUCUGUCAAGGAUCGGGAAUCUGGGCACAGAGGAUCUGCACCAAGAGCUCGAACAUCGUGGAGUUGCCAGAGUCCAGCUCCUGCUGGUGGCGCAGAAAAGGGUGUCUGAGGUUGGUUCCUGGGCCUUCCCGACCUUUUCUCGCCAACCCAGGAUGUUUCAGACAGUCCCUGACACGUCGUCUUACGUCAAGGCUCUGCCCCGAGGGCUGCGAAGGGCCCCGGGGUGAGGAGUGGCCGUCUCUCUCCCAUCCACAAGGAUCCCCCGAGUCUGCCCCCCACCCCCACCGCCCAGGAUCCACAACCUCAGAGAUGACAAACCCAGAGGGGCAAAAGGGAGCCCAGGAGCCUGACCCUGACCAAGAGCCAGAGAGAAAGCAAACGGGCCAGGCAAGGGGAGGGGACUGGUGGGGGAGGGGGAGGGGCAGCAGUCUAAGAGCUGUAGCCGCCAGGGGAGCCUCUCACCGCAGGAGCUCUUUUGAAGGGGAAAAAAUGGAUUUUUUCAGCAGCCACAAAGUUUGUAUUGUUGCACAAAGGGGUGCAUUGAUGACGGCGAAACGUCCUCGUGGCAGGGACAAUCUGGGUCUGUUCCGCCGGCUCCCUACGCCUACCAUUUGCCAGAGGGGCACAAACAGUCCGCGGCUGCCAAGCCUCUGCCAUUCCGCCUCUGGCACUCGACUCGGAGCUUGUUGACAAACAGUGCGGGCCCAGGCGCCCAGCCCUGGGGAACCAAGGGUGCUCACUCCCACCGGGCAGCGAUCUGGGUUCUAAGUGCUCGAAGAGGAACGAGCAGGAGAGCGCGUAGGGCGGGUACGAGGCUGUAAAGAGUAAGGGAAAGGUGAAAAGGGAGAGAGCAUUGUAUUUGUGCUAACUCAUUUAAUAUUAAUAACAACCGUAAGAGGUAGUCAGUUUUGCAGAUGAGAAACUGAGGCAUUAAGAGUGUAAUGUAACACAGCUUACAAGUUACAAAUAAUAAGGGCAAAGUUGUGCUGAUUGCAGGCAAGUUCUAAAUCCUCACUUCAUCUUCACAACAGCCCUUUGAGGUAGUUCCUAUUAUAACACCAAUGUACAGAUGAGGACACCGAGGCACAGAGAGGUUAAGGAACUCGUUCAAGGCCACAGAGCUGGUGAGUGCGGAGCUAGAUACAAACCCAAGGGGCUGGGUUUCCCAGUGGAAACGUUCGACCAGGAGAUUCCACUUGCAGAUAUGGGGAGGGGCAGGAGACCCAGUGGAGUAAUCCUGACCACGUCCGUGCCAGAUGUCAGCACUGGGCAAUGCACUUGCCAGUCCUAGCGCCAGGAGCACAUCCCUGAAGGUCCCUGGCCGCCCCACUCGAGAUUGGCAGGAUCCUCCACUUUCCCUCUUUGUGAGUCUUCCAGAUUCCUUGUUCUCGCUCCCCCACCAGCCAGCCCGCUGGUUCAACCCACGCUGCAUUCUGGGGGAGACAACCCCCACUAGAGGAAAGGAGGCUGGUCGCCCUAGAAUGUUCACAGAGACGUGGCCCGGGGACAGCAUCUGGCCGGCAGGUCCUGAACCAGCGUUUCAAGGACACAGCCCCCAUCUAGGCGCCGCCACCGGGUGAGGGUCCUGGCACCUGGCUGGUCUCCACCUCUUGUCAGCCUGCGCUCUCUGGUCAGCCUCGGACUCCCUUGGGAUUUCCUCCUCGACGCCGCGUGGUCUGGGGACAGGGCCGGGAGCGCCACGGGCUCGGGGCGCAGAGGCCCUCCUCCUCCCGGGCCCUCCCACCGCCGCGGCCUCCCACGUAGCGUUUUGAACCCUCUUGGCGCUAAAGCAAGAACGAGCGUGGGGAGCGGGCAGGGUGAGCAGAGGCUCUAAAUCUUCCUUCAAUCUGUGAGUAGAUGAAGUCUGAGAAACAAAUUCAAAGCAGGCGCGCCUGCAGAGCCCUCCUGCAGAAAUAUUCCCCGGCAUUCAAGCGCAUCCAGGGGCUGCUCGAGCUGCCUUGUUUGGCUAAGGUCAGACGAGACUCGAGUUCUCCAAUAAAAAUAAAUCUCAAAUUAAUUAUGGCCUCGAGCGAGGGGCCAGACACUUGAAGCUGCAGUUGUGCAGUCUGGAGUUUUGGCGCUCGCUCGCCCACCCUUCCCCCGC